rnacentral:rRNA from 1 species
UACGAGGGGUGCAAGCGUUGCUCGGAAUUAUUGGGCGUAAAGGGUAGGUCGGUGGUCUCAUUUGUCUGGGGUGAAAGCCUUGAGCUUAACUCAAGAAGUGCCCCGGAAACGGUGAGACUGGAGUCCCGGAGAGGGUCGUGGAAUUCCCGGUGUAGCGGUGAAAUGCGUAGAGAUCGGGAGGAACACCAGAGGCGAAGGCGGCGACCUGGACGGGCACUGACACUCAACUACGAAAGCGUGGGGAGCAAACAGG